rnacentral:lncRNA from 1 species
CUGUGUACCUCCGAGAGAGAGGAGUCACUUUCAUCAGACCUAUAGUGAAAGAGUUAGAAUUAUGAGAGAAAGAAUACAGAUGUCAACAGAAUGAGUAAAACAUGUUCAAAUAGGAAAACCAUGACUUUGAAUGGUAAACUGUAGAAGAGUAACAUCCUUCUGAAUGAGAUGGGUACAUAUGAAUACUGAAGAGUCAUAACCAGUCUGGCCAGAGCCCAGAGGAUCUCACUCAGAUGGUCACCAACUCAGGCCCUCUUCAGGACCAAGUUUGGUCUGAAGCAUUAUGGUUACCUGGGCAGCAGGACACACAAACAACUCACUGUUGUACUCUCAACUCUGAGAACACAACUCUAGCCCAAGCCCCUGAGACCGCCGUCCUUAGAAAGGCCUGCUUGGAAAACUGGACUUUGGCUGACAUCUAAAAACAGCUCUCAGAGCGUUCCCAGUCAACUGUUAGCCAAUAAAAGUGGCUCACGGUGCACUAGAAACUUCGUGCAAAUAAUAUGGCUUAUGCUGAACACUUGCUUUCCUUCUGGAAGUCUAGACUGACAGAAGGUACAUAUGUCACCCCCCCCAGUAAAACCCUGGGGCACUGAGCAUCUACUGGACUUUCCUGGACAUAAACAUUGCACAAAUAUUGCUGCGUUUUUUGUUCUGGAGAAAGAAAGCACUCUGUGUGAACUCUUAUCGUAGGGAGAGAGAUACAAAUGCCUGGAUACAGAUUCCUCCAGAGUCCAUCUGUGUCUUUUCCCUUUAUGAACAUUGAUAUCAUAAAUCUUAGUCAUGAAUACAACCAUAUGCUAAGCCCUCUGAGUCUUCUAGCAAAUCUCUGAUGAUAGUGGUGACCGUGGGGAUCCCAACACAGAUAUAGAAAAAUAAGGAUGUUCUUUAAAGGCUACAAAAGUACAACCCUGUGAGCAUGGGGCGCUGGCCCUGGCUCAUCCUCUACCCUUCAGUUCCCUCAUUCCAUGUCAUGAACUUGCUGCUCUGGAGCAUCAACCUGUUUGUAGGCCUCAGGCACACAAAAGUGUGGCUAAAUUCCUAUGCCUUAGCUUUUGCUGCCCCUCUGCCUGGAGCAACUCUCUGGCCCCAAUUCAACCUUGUCUUUUUCCUGACUAACUCUUCUUCACUAUGUUUUAGCUUAAAUGUCAUCUCCUCCAGAAAGCCUUCAUUAACUCCUUCAUUCUUGUUAGGUAGUCCCACUCUGUGCUCCCAUAACUCUACAGAUCUCAAUCAUUGCCUUCACUGCAAUAUAUCAUAAUCUGUUCAUAGUCUCUCCUCCUCAGUAGGGCAUCAAGUCCAUAAGGACAAAAUCAGCAUCUCACUCAUCUUUGAAUCCCAGCAUCCAGCCCAAUGAUUGUGAUAAAACUGGAGAACAACUAAAUGAUUUUUAAAGCAAUGUACCUAUAACUUUCUAGCUUCUGUGGGUUUAAAUUUCAUUGUUUUCUCAUCUCAUGCUUUUUAUUUAGCUCCUUUCGUCUAGAGAGAGCCCCAGUCCCUAGGGCAAAUUUCUGCCAUGAGUCAUAGGAUACAUUAGCUGAAUGAGUUCCUACUCUCUGCUUCUGACCCUUCAAGCUAUAGAAAAUUGAAAUUUGUUUGAAAGUUGGAAAACAGAGACACUGCUCAUCAAAUUAGCAAUUUAAUAUUCUUCUGCACAUAAAGACAUCAAACAAUUUAUCUUUCAAGUUAAAAGACAGCAUAUAUUUCUAUGAAUUGAGCCACUAAGAACAAAGAGAAGGAGGAGGAGAACAAGAAGGAGGAGAAAGAUGAAGAAGGGGGAGAAAGAUAAA